UCAUGAUACCCACUUUUGAGUGUCACAAUGUUGAUCCUAUAUACCCCGUUUUGUAUCGUUUAAACACUGAAUAACCCCAUUUGUAAUUAAAGUUUAAGGAUAAAACCAUAAUAUAACAUAAUAAUAGAAAUAAACCCAAAAUACAACAACUGUAGUAGCCCAAUUUUGCUCAGCCCAACAAAAAUAAAUAAACCAAAACAAAUAAAUCAAAGUUCAUUAAAUAGUCCAUAUUACAAAAAAACUCUAAAGCCCAAUAGCCCAAAACCUAAACAAAAAAAAAGAAAGAAAACCUUAAUUCCCCUAAGACUUCACCAGCCGCUGCUGCUCCUCUCCACGCC
rnacentral:lncRNA from 1 species